rfam:Schistosoma mattheei strain Denwood, Zambia genome assembly, scaffold: SMTD_scaffold0008222
AUCCGACUUACGAGUCCCAAAUAGGACGAAACGUGCAUCCCGGAU